GAACAUUCUGAGGAGAGCAGGCCAUGAGCAGCACACCUCUGAGCCAGGGGGACAGGCCUGAGGGAUCAUUCCCGUGGAAAAGGCAGCAGCUGAUCUUCUAGGGAAAAAGAAAUAAAGUCAUGUUGGAGUUUUGCUGGUCCCUUAAGGAGCUGAUGACAAAGAACAGCAUUUGGGGGGUACCAAAUUGUGAAUUUUCAGUAAAACCUGGAGUUCCAUAGCACACUUAACUAUUAAAUCAACACCACCCCUAUCUAUCUGACUUUGGUAACAUCUCUAUUUAUUUUUAAAAUCUCUCAGUACUUAUAACUCUGCCCUCUGGACUAGACUUGCUUUAAACCAAGAUAAGAAAA